CGGAAAUUAUUCAACUUCCGAUGCCAUUUUUGUAGCCAGGAAGUAGCAUUUUCUAAAUCCUAGCUAUAACUCUGCUCUUUGCCCUUAAAAAAGAAAUUCGCUAAUUUUAGUAUUGAUCAAUUAAAUAGAUAAAUGUCCGAAGACUUAUAUGUAUACAUCCGUCAGUAAACUCCGCAGUUAUAGACUUUGUAUACUUUUAA